rnacentral:rRNA from 1 species
GACGUAGGGCGCGAGCGUUGUCCGGAUUUAUUGGGCGUAAAGGGCUCGUAGGCGGUUUGUCGCGUCGGGAGUGAAAACACCGGGCUUAACUCGGUGCUUGCUUUCGAUACGGGCAGACUUGAGGCAUGCAGGGGAGAACGGAAUUCCUGGUGUAGCGGUGAAAUGCGCAGAUAUCAGGAGGAACACCGGUGGCGAAGGCGGUUCUCUGGGCAUGUUCUGACGCUGAGGAGCGAAAGUGUGGGGAGCGAACAGG